ensembl:lncRNA DLG5-AS1 DLG5 antisense RNA 1
CUGCGGUGCAGUCCUUGGUCUUUCUGGCAAGUGAGGCGCUCUCCCCCUAAAUGUCUCAGAGGGAGACAAAUCAGCGGACUACCUUGCUUCCUUUGAUGACUUGGAAAGGAUCUGCAGUCCCCCUUAAAGCCCAAGAAUGUCUUCUCUUCCACGACAGCCGUUUGUGGACACAUACUGCUUACCUCCCUGACUGCAGGACAAGGUCCUUCAAAGCUGGAACUCUGACUGCGCUCAGUGAUCCCGCAGUGCUCCUCUGUAGAGUGGGAACCCAGGUCCAUUUCAAAUAUCUACGUUGGAAUGAGUGGAUCUCGCUGGGGGUGAGAGGCACUUUGUCUACCCACACUGCCAGUCCCAGCCACAUGCCUCCUCCCUUCCCUCAAAAAGCAGUGUCUUCUUAGUCUGCUUCUUCAAGGGGAGAAGUCGUUUUUAUUUAUGGAAACGAACUCACUAUAUGGUAGAAAGAACAAGAGUAUCAGAAUUUGCACUUUGGACUUGGACUCCCCUCUAAGCAGCUGCACAAGGUGGAACAAACCAAUAAUCCUUGCUGAUCUGUUUUGUCCUUAGGAAAAAUGGUGGAGGGAGAAUAUUAGAUCAGGGGUUCUUAGCCUUGGCUUCAUGAAUAAGCUCAAGGAUGUCAAUGAAGCUUUUGACAUGAUCUCAACUUUUUUGUGAACAUUUAUAUAUUUUUCUGGAAUGGGGUCCAUAGAGUUACAAGUUCUUUAAGACCUCCAGAUGGACCCCAAUAUGGCAGAAAUGAACUAUUUAAAGAUACCUGCCUGCUCCCGUAGUCUGACCCUCUAUGGCUAAGCAAGGUUUUAGAGGAGUGGAAGGCUGGCCAUUGCACAGUAUCAGGGUUCCAGACAGGCUCCCUGGCUCUUCCCUCCCAGUCCUGCUCCUGAGAUAUAGUUCUUUCUGGCCGCCACUUCCCUUAGGGCAACCCCAGAGCUUAAAUCAUCUGCAAGGCAGUCACCUUUCAGGCACCUUUCAUCCGGCACCUGUGUUCUUAGCUGGAUUAACUAGAAAGCUAGUUGGAGGAAGGAAGGUGAAAGUGGAGGAAGGGGAAAAGAGGAAAAGUUGGAGACGAAUCUGGCUUAUGGUUAGAAGCAUAUUUUUUGGCCAGGCAAAGUGGCUCACGCCUGUAAUCCCAGCACUUUGGGAGGCUGAGGUAGGCGGAUUGCCUGAGCUCAGGAGUUGGAGACCAGCCUGGCCAACGUGGUAAAACCCCGUCUCUAACAAAAAUACAAAAAUUUAGCCAGGCAUGAUGGUGCAAGCCUGUAAUCCCAGCUGUUCAGGAGGCUGAGGCAUGAGAAUUGCUUGAACCCAGGAGGUGGAGGUUGCAGUGAGCUGAAAUUGCACCACUGCACUCCAGGCUGGGUGACCGAGCAAGACUCUGUCUCAAAAAAAAGAAAAAAAAACUUAUUUUUUGAGACAGAGUCUCACUCUGUCGCCCAGGCUGGAUUGCAGUGGGGCAAACACAGUUCACUGCAGCCUCAAUUUCUUGGGCUCAAGCAACUAUCCUGCCUCAGCCUCCCGAGGAGUAGCUGGGAUCAUAGGUGCUUGCCACCACACCUGGCUAAUUUUUUAAAUAUUUUGUAGACACAGGGUCUUGCCACAUUGCCCAGGCUGGUCUUGAACUCCUGGGCUCAAGUUAUCCUCCCGCCUCGGUCUCCCAAAGUUCUGGAAUUACAGAUGUUAGUUACCACCCGGACCAAUUUUAGGAUUCCUUUAGCCAGUGACCUUGGUGUGACCUUGUACUUCUGCAGCAUUUUAUACCUUCUGCGGCACACCCUUGUAGUGGGUCGAAUUGUGUUCCCCCAAAAGAUAUGUUCUAGUCCUAAUUCCCAGUACCUGUGAAUGUGACUUAUUUAGAAAUAGGGUCUUUGCAGAUGUAAUCUAGUUCAAAUGAGGUCAUACUGGAUUAGGGCGGGUCCUCAUCCAAUAACUGUUGUUCUUAUUAGAAUAGGGAAAUUUGGAUGCAGAGACACAGAGAAAAUGCCAUGUGAAGAUGGAUCAGAGACAGAAGUGAUGCGGCUGCAAGCCAAGGAAUGUGAAGAAUGGCCAGCCACCACCGGAAGCUAGGGGAGACGCCAGCACAGAUUCUCCCUGAGAGUAUCCAGAAGAAACCAACCCUCCAACACCUGGAUUUCAGACUUCUGACCUUGAGAAGUGUGAGCCAAUAAAACAACUGCAGUGG